ACAAGCGGUGGAGCAUGUGGUUAAUUCGAAGCAACGCGAAGAACCUUACCAGGUCUUGACAUCCCCUGACAACCCGAGAGAUCGGGCGUUCCCCUUCGGGGGGACAGGGUGACAGGUGGUGCAUGGUUGUCGUCAGCUCGUGUCGUGAGAUGCUGGGUUAAGUCCCGCAACGAGCGCAACCCUCGACCUUAGUUGCCAGCAUUCAGUUGGGCACUCUAAGGUGACUGCCGGCUAAAAGUCGGAGGAAGGUGGGGAUGACGUCAAAUCAUCAUGCCCCUUAUGACCUGGGCUACACACGUGCUACAAUGGGCGGUACAAAGGGUCGCGAACCCGCGAGGGGGAGCCAAUCCCAAAAAGCCGCUCUCAGUUCGGAUUGCAGGCUGCAACUCGCCUGCAUGAAGCCGGAAUCGCUAGUAAUCGCGGAUCAGCAUGCCGCGGUGAAUACGUUCCCGGGCCUU
rnacentral:rRNA from 1 species